UUUAACAAAAACAUGUCCUCUAGGGAAUUUAGUGUGAGGUCGGACCUGCCCACUGAUGAUUUAUUAAAGGGCCGCGGUAUUUUGACCGUGCAAAGGUAGCAUAAUCAUUAGUCUUUUAAUUGAAGGCUGGUAUGAAUGGUUUGACGAGAUAUAAGCUGUCUCUGUAUAAUGAUAUAUAAUUUAACUUUUGAGUCAAAAGGCUUAAAUAAAUAUAAAAGACGAGAAGACCCUAUAGAGCUUUAUAUAUAAUUGUACUUGUAUAUUUGGAGGUAUUGUAAAUAAGUAUGAAUUAUAUGUUUUGUUGGGGUGACAUGAAGAUAUAAUAAACUCUUUAUUAUUAAAACAUUGAUUUAUGAUUAAUUGAUCCAUUAUUAAUGAUUACAAGAUAAAGUUACCUUAGGGAUAACAGCGUAAUUUUUUUUGAGAGUUCUUAUCGACAAGAAAGAUUGCGACCUC
rnacentral:rRNA from 1 species